rnacentral:tRNA from 1 species
GAGUGUAGCUCAGUUAGUAGAGUGCUUGCCUAACAUUUAUGAGGCUCUGGGUUCAAUUCCUAGCACUC